rnacentral:lncRNA from 1 species
CUAGAUGCCUGGAGGCAACUUGGCUUUUCACAGCUUGCAACUGUCCACUCACCUUCCCUUGCUGUGGCUCCUCUCUGCCUGACCCCAAAUGCAGAGGAGCCCCUUGAACUCUUAGUUGCUGGUGGCUCCCCAGAAGAUCAGGUUCAAGUUGCCAGCCAGACUCUGGGCUUCCAGGAGGAGUGGGCUGUGGAUGGCCUGGCCUCAUUUGCAUGUCCCUCUCCUCCCGGCCCUGCAGGUGCCACCUCCUGAGUCCUGGUUCCUGCGGCUCCGUCGAAUCUGCAGUGAAGGCCUUUGGGAAGCGUGGGUUAUGUGGGUCCAGGGGUCCCAUCCUCCCGUGGAGGCCCUUGACCUGAGGAUCACUAACUCACACCCCACCGACUUCCGGCCCCCAACAAGGGCAGUGUUCCUCUUGCUCCAUUCUGCUCUGAAGUCCCCCAAACCGCUUCCUGGGGCUGCUUAGUGAAAUACAAGGCUCAUCUCUGAGGACCUCUACAGGGCUGGAUGGGAAGGACUGAUCCACAUUCCCACCAGGAAGUUUAGCAGAACCCCCGCGUGCCACCUGGACCCCUUGGAAGGACCUGGCUCAGGCUGGACCACCUCUUGAGAGGCAGGAGCUCUGGAUUUGAUCAAGAAUUCUUUGCUGAGCAUGGUGCCUCAUGCCUAUAAUCCCAACACUUUGGGAGGCCAGUGUGGGAGGAUCUCUUGAGCCCAGGAGUUCAAGACUAGCCUGGGCAACACAGAGAGACCCCAUCUCUAAAAUAAUAAUAAUAAUAAAAUAAAAAAUUAGCAGGGCAUGGUGGCAUGUGCCUGUAGUCCCAGCUACCCAGGAGGCUGAGGCAAGAGGAUGGCUGGAGCCUGGGAUGUUGAGGCUGCAAUGAACUGUGAUUACCCCACUGCACUCCAGCCUGGGCAAAAGAGCGAGAGACCCUGUCUCAAAUAAUAAUAAUAAUAAUAAUCUUAUUUUGGAGAAUAAAGAGACCUCUGGAUUUGAGGUGCCAUUUGGGUAGAAAGAAAAGACGUUUACACCGAGAAAUAGUCUGUGUUGCCCUGAAGGAGCAGAGGGAUGCAUCGCUGGAGGUGACCUACAGUUGAAGAAGACUCAUUAUGACAGACCUUGUCCUUCUUCCUUGUGGAAAGUGUUUCCUCUGCUGCUACUGCUCAUGAGACUCUUCCCCCUCCCUGUCCCAGGGAACCAAAGGGCUUUCUACCACACCCUUUCUUGCCCCCCGCCUCCCAUGUCUGCUGUGCCUUUGUACUCAGCAAUUCUUGUUUGCUCCAUUAUCUUCCAGCCGGAUACAGAGUGAAUAGUUAACCACACUUAGGUCAAAUAGGAUCUAAAUUUUUGUUCCUGCUCCGUGUAAAGAGGCCAGUGUUUGUGUGUUGCAAGCAGCCUUGGAAUAGUAACUCUUCUCAUUUGUUUGGGAUCUGGCCACCAAGUUCCAGAAUGAUACACGGAUCAGUGCAGAAGUUCAUCAGGCUCUCGGACCUUAGGGCUGUUGGAGAAGGCUUCAGCAGCAGAACUGAUGGUGAAGGCUCGUGUUCUCCAUCCUCAACUUUCUUUGCUUCGAUCAUACACAAGAAUACAUUUGGAAGGGCAAAAAAUGAACACUGUCGUUCAUUGCAGCCGUGUUUUGUGACACAGAUGCACAGUCUGCUGUGAAGACCUUCUCUCAAGUGGCAUUUGGGAGUCCAUGCCAGAUCAUGGUGCUUCAUGAGAGACUGACAGCUAUCAGGGGUUGUGGCACUUAGUGAGGACUCUCCUCCCCCAGUGUGUGCUGAUGACACAUACACACCUGACAAUAGCUUGAGUCUUCUCUGUUCCUUUUACUCUGUAGCCAACAUACACAUGAUUUAAAACCCUUUCUAAAUAUCUAUCAUGGUUCAUCCUUGUCCAAAUGCAGAGUCAGAGCUAUUUGUACUUCAUUAUUAUUUCCAAGGCGAAUAGUUGGCUUUCUUUUUGCAAAAAUAAUUAAAGUUUUUGUAUGUUGCAGUUGC